UUGAUUUUUGGGUUGUCGUCAGAUAGUACUGAUCUUAUUUUUUAGUUAGAUGCUCUAUUAUCUUUAUUCUGACCUAUACAUGCACUGGAGGAUAUUUUAUUAAGUGACACAGUUUACGGUUUUGGUCACUUAGUGAACAAAUUUAUUAAUUACAUUUUUUCCCGCAGAAUGAUUACUUUUGACUUAUGAGCUGAUUUCAGCCAAGCUAAAACAUGUUCAGGUUGGUACCAAUAUUUCCUUUAGUUUGUCACGGCAUUUUAACACUUGUACCGUUGUACACAGUAUUAGCUAUCAUGUAUUUGGUUUUGUUUCUGUCCUCAUUAGGAAGGCAAUGCUCUGACAGUCAAGAGUUCCAGUAAAUGUCUUUUUCAAGCAGUACCCUCUCUAUUAUGAACUGGAAAUUACGUACAUGGGCUACCAAGCAGGCCAUGUGUUGUCUUGUGCAGCUGCAGAAUGUGUUCGGAUAUCACUUGGUCAUUGUUCCUUGCUGGAAGCUAAUAUCAGGCUGAAUUUUCCAUCGCAUGUACAGAGUUUCAGAAUCUACUCUUAGCCAUGAUCGUUUUUCCUGUAUCUCCUUUUCUUUUAUGUAUAUAAGCAACGUGCUUGUUUUUUAAAUCUCAUUUGUUUUAAAGAUAAACACAUGUUCAGGGAAGGGUUCUUAGGUAAUCAAGUGCAUUUAUUAUUAUAGUACUAGCCAAAAAUCCAUCUUGGAUUUAGAUCGUAGCAUUUGCCCUUGUAUUUUUUUCAGUGUUGUUACAUGCUCUGGUUUUCAAAAUUUACAAAUAUCCAGCGAAAGAAAUCGGUCUCGCAUCUCGACUUAUUGUCUAUACACACUUGGUUUCGUGACACAUUUCUUUGUGAUUUGUGUAGAAUAUAAUUCACAAUAUUUUUUCUUAUGCCAAUAAAUAUACGAUAACUCGGACAUUUGCGCCAGUCGGCGCAACGAGUCAUCUAUGAUGGAGAUUUACAUAAUAUAUGUUACCAGAGCACAUGCACAUAUGACUUUACUUCUGGGCCAGUAGCUAAAAUUCAGUCGUUUUAAGAGUAUUCUAUGACAUAAUGAUUUCUAUGAACCUCAUAACAAAUGUAUAUGCAUUUGAUCCUAAUUGACUGUUUCUACAUCAAAUUAUUUUUUUAGCUUGGAGAGAGUGUAUAUCUCCUUUCUGUUGUGAGUUAGCUUGGAGAGAGUGUGUGCCUUUCUUUCUCUCCAGCUGUUGUCGCCUUGACUCCCAGUUUCAUAAUCUAGCAUUCGAUCUGCAUUUCUGAAUGUCUCUUGCAGAUUGCAUAAUUGCAUCAGCCCAAUGAAAUCCGUAGAGGAGGGAUACAUAGUACAUAUUUAGAUAUGCAACAAUAGGUUUAGCUUCUGUAUUAAAAUCUAUACUAGCAAUGUUUGUAUUGUUGUGCGACCUGCUCUAUAUGUGGUGGGAUUUUGUAAUUGCUUAUGCUAUGUUCAUGUAUAUAAUAUAAAAUUUGAAAUUUCAUGGUUGAUAUUUUCUUGAUGCUCUGCUUGAGGUGGCGCUGGCCAAGAGAAGGAGCUAAUCAUUGUUUCUUCCUCAUAUGAUUAGAUUUUUGUGCUUGGUGAAGCAGGUAGGGAGCAGACAUGCAGAUAUGGGAGAAGGUGCUCAUGGAACUCGAUGCCGAUGUCAAGUUGCAGUAGUGCAAGCCAUACCCUGGAUUGGGCGUAGGUGUUUUGACGCCAUGAGAUGGCAUUGCUUACUGAUGAGGCGAGCAGCCAACAUUUUUGUGACAUACAACAACACACCUUGGCUUGAUUGGAGCUCACCAGCAUGCAAAUGUGGUAUGAGGCAAAGCAAUAGCUCAUUUUAUCUAUGGCGACCUUGGCACUGAAUUAACAUGUGCCAAGCCAAAUGGCUUCUUGCAUUUAGUUACCAGUUUGAUGGACCUUUAUACACAUGGAAAAAAUAGGUGCUAUUCUACCAACAAUAUUUCGGUGUACAUCUAGGUUGAUACGUUCACUCCUGCAACCGAGAGAGGGCUUCCAGUCACAAAGACUGUUAGCCGCAUCCCCCUGCAGGAUAUUCUUGCUCGUGUGGUUGGCGAUGUUCCUAUAAUGAGCAAUCACCAUGUAGUCGAUUUUACAGACGCUGGCAACAAGGUGAAUGAACAGUUUUAUCGUUGAUAUUGUUGAUUAAAGGAGGCCCCCCUCCCCACACACACACAUAAUCUCGACUUUCGCCUGUAGUCAACAGUUACAAAGUGCAAAUUUUGAUUUAUUUUGCAGGUUCAUCCAUAAGGUUCAUGGAGAUCAUCUGAUGGAUAUUCUCAUAGCUCUGGAAAUGGACAUCAUCGAUCACAUCCAUAAGGCCUCUAACCCUCCCACCAGAAAAUGACUAGCCCAACCACAUCACUUGGGAUUGCGUGAACCUUUGAAUUGCCCCUACCUCUAAUUCUUUGACCCUUCUGACAGUGUUAGGUAAUCUUGGGGCGAGAAGCAGAUGUCGUGGAUCGAUGUGGCAGAUGGUGUGGAUGGCCGCGACAGAGUACUUGGUAGAUUAGAUGUGGUGGAGGGAAUUGAGUGAUGUGUGGCAGAUCAAGGCGGAGGGUAGGGAGAUAGAUUAAGACGAAAAUCACAAUGGGGAUGGGUGGUAUAGCUGAGAAUAGUGGUGAAAAUUAUUUAUGUGGGGCAAACAUUUGUAAUAGUUUAUGGUCCUGUGGUAUCGGUUAAGGGGCUCAAAAUUUGGAAACCGACUUUUUCUGUCUUGCUAAUGUAGAUUUUUUUUAAAAUUA